GAUGAACGCUAGCGGGAGGCCUAACACAUGCAAGCCGAGCGGUAUUUCUUCUUCGGGAGAGAGAGAGCGGCGUACGGGUGCGGAACACGUGUGCAACCUGCCUUUAUCUAGAGGAUAGCCUUUCGAAAGGAAGAUUAAUACUCUAUAAUAUAUUAAUUGGCAUCAAUUGAUAUUGAAAACUCCGGUGGAUAGAGAUGGGCACGCGCAAGAUUAGCUAGUUGGUGAGGUAACGGCUCACCAAGGCAAUGAUCUUUAGGGGGCCUGAGAGGGUGAUCCCCCACACUGGUACUGAGACACGGACCAGACUCCUACGGGAGGCGGCAGUGAGGAAUAUUGGUCUAUGGGUGCAAGCCUGAACCAGCCAUCCCGCGUGAAGGAUUAAGGUCCUAUGGAUUGUAAACUUCUUUUGUAUAGGGAUAAACCUACCCUCGUGAGGGUAGCUGAAGGUACUAUACGAAUAAGCACCGGCUAACUCCGUGCCAGCCGCCGCAGUAA
rnacentral:rRNA from 1 species